rnacentral:rRNA from 1 species
UACGUAGGGUGCAAGCGUUGUCCGGAAUUAUUGGGCGUAAAGAGCUCGUAGGCGGUUUGUCGCGUCUGCUGUGAAAACUCGGGGCUUAACCCCGGGCCUGCAGUGGGUACGGGCAGACUAGAGUGCGGUAGGGGAGACUGGAAUUCCUGGUGUAGCGGUGAAAUGCGUAGAUAUCGAGAGGAACACCUGCGGCGAAGGCGGGUUGCUGGGCCGACACUGACGCUGAUGCGCGAAAGCCAGGGGAGCGAACGGG